rnacentral:rRNA from 1 species
UUUUCGCAAUGCCCGAAAGGGUGACGAAGCGACGCCGCGUGGGUGAGGAAGGCCUUCGGGUUGUAAAGCCCUGUCAGGAGUUAUGAAAUGUAAGUUCGUUAAUACCGUACUUAUUUGACAAAGGCUCCAAAGGAAGCCACGGCUAACUCUGUGCCAGCAGCCGCGGUAAUACAGAGGUGGCGAGCGUUGUUCGGAAUUAUUGGGCGUAAAGAGCACGUAGGUGGGUUUGCAAGUCAGAUGUGAAAGCCUUCUGUUCAACGGAAGAAUUGCAUCUGAAACUGCUAAUCUUGAGUAUAGGAGGGGAGAAUGGAACUUCUGGUGGAGCGGUGAAAUGCGUAGAUAUCAGAAGGAACGCCGGCGGCGAAAGCGAUUCUCUGGCCUAUUACUGACACUCAGUGUGCGAAAGCUAGGGGAGCAAACGGGAUUAGAUACCCCGGUAGUCCUAGCCGUAAACGAUGGGCACUAAGUAGAGGGGUU